rnacentral:rRNA from 1 species
UACAGAGGGUGCGAGCGUUAAUCGGAAUUACUGGGCGUAAAGCACGCGUAGGCGGCUUUUCAAGUCGAUUGUGAAAUCCCCGGGCUUAACCUGGGAACUGCAGUCGAGACUGUCUAGCUAGAGUAUGGGAGAGGGAAGUGGAAUUUCAGGUGUAGCGGUGAAAUGCGUAGAUAUCUGAAGGAACAUCAGUGGCGAAAGCGACUUCCUGGACCAAUACUGACGCUCAUGUGCGAAAGCGUGGGGAGCAAACAGG